AGGAAUGACAUGAGGAUCUGAGGACCU
rnacentral:piRNA from 1 species